rnacentral:lncRNA from 1 species
AGAGCUGGUGAUUCGGCCGCUGCUUCAAUCCGUCAGAGCGGUGUAGCGGAGUCCAGUCAGUAGGGACCCAUCCAUGUCCCUGCCCGCCUGCUGCAGCAGCAGUCAAGGCAGCCGGGUGAAGCUGACACCACAGACCUUGAAAAAAACAGGCAUGCGGAGGUGGAGCUGCGCGUCAGAUAUCGCGCCUGUAACUGUAGGCUUUAUGAGCGAAACGAAAGAAAACAAAAGUUUUCUGUGUAUUUGCCGAGCGUGUACUCGGUUGAAUGUCCUGGGUGUGUACGGCUGGACCGUACAGGGCUAGAAUAAGUCGCAGGAGUGCGACGGAAAGAGCAAGUUCGCGAGUUCAUAGCGAGUUCAUACUGACAGGUUUCCGCUGCGGCUUCUGCCUAACCUACAGGCUUCAGAAGCAGAGUCGCUCGGUAACCAGGCUCGCCCCCUCCCACGGAAGCAAGCACUAACUUUCCUGCCUGCAGGUACCCCUCCGUCUGAACGACCCCUAAGCGGUAAGGCAACUACUCAAGAAAACAAAGAUUUGGCUGUAAUAAAGGCUUGGCAUUGUAAAAGCAACGUGUGCCCUGUAAUGGACACUUGGCGCUAGCCAACCGUGAGGCCGCCGCGGCCAUGCCAUGCGCAGGGGUUGGAAUCCACAGCAUCCACAUCGAACACGUACGGGCCAAGGAAGGGCAUCUGUACCCGGACAGGAAAACACAGCACAGCGAGGCGUGCAUGGGGUAUCAGGGGGUUUCACAGGGCGGUGUGCAGCCAUCACAAGCCUCUCUUCCUGCUGCUUUCCUGCCUUCCUGCAGCCUCCCUAUCCACAAUCACAUCGGNCCUCUACCUACUUACCUACCGGGGUACCUACCUCUACAUAUGCCAAUAACGACCGGCGUCAUGAUCAAGCGGCCGCCACACCCUAUUACCUAGGCCAUGUGCACAAAUCCGCUCGGUCCUCCUUUUGCUGUACGUACGGUGUCGUACGAGUAAUGUACGAUGCCUGAUUGAAGUCGUUCCCACGCGGCGCGGGGCGGUGACUGAUGGAAUGGUUACCACGAGCACGUCAGGUACUGCACACGUUGGACGAGCUUACAGCUGGGUUUACAAGCAUGCAGAUGGAUGGGCAUAGCACAGCACAGCGAUCAGCACAGCACAGCGAUCAGCACAGCACAGCUCAGCAGCGCACGGCACCCUCCAGCCCAGUUGUGCAUUUUUGGGCGGGGCCCCAGCGCGAAGCGCCCAGGGGGGCCCCGACCUGUAGGAUUGCCCAUGUCCGUGUGUGUGUGUGUGUGUGUGUGUGUGUGUGUGUGUGUGUGUGUGUGUGUGUGUAACGGACCAAACAUAAUAUCUCGCCUGGCUGAAACGCGUUAUAGGUACUAUACAGCAUUCUCUAUUGCAAGGUAUCUCCCAUGUAGCCAACAAAAAUCGUAUGAGCGCAAACAAGUUUGGCUGCCUCAAUUGACCGAGGCCAAAGUCACAUCAAUGCCUCUCGCGCUAAAUUUCAUCGCAAAAGGUACCGCGUAUCUCAUAUUUGAGUUCUUAGAUGACGGCGUAUGAUAACUCGAACUCCCAGGCCUUGAGUGUGUAACGGACCAAACAUAAUAUUUCACCCGGCUGAAACGCGUUAUCGGUACUAUACAGCAUUCUCUAUUGCAAGGUAUCUCGCAUGUAGCUAACAAAGACCGUAUGAGCACAAACAAGUUUAGCUGCCUCCAUUCACCGACCUCAAAAGUCACAUCAACGCCUCUCGCGCUAAAAUUCAUCCCGAAAGCUGCCGCGUAUCUCACAAUGGAAUUCUGAGAUGACGGCGUAUGAUAACUCGAACACCCAGCUUGUGUUACCAUUUGCCGGCAUGGGCUUGCCACCAGCAGGCCAACAUAAUUUGCUUUCAUUUCUCUAUGAAAUACACAAGCUGCUUGUUUGUACAUUUACUUUGGCCAAUGCACGGGGCCUCCUGAGACUUGCGGUGUGCCCCGAUGAAGCCCGCGGCUGUGGGGCGGAUUGCUGAGGCCGCUGGCGCUUCGGGGAUAAACAUCACAGACAGCACCGAAAUUCACCCAGCUUUCGUUACCAUUUGCCCGCACGGGCAUUCCGACUUGCGGUCUGCCGCACUGUCCAUGCGGCAUGCACCCGGAAUGCCGGGUGCGGCAUGCACCCGGAAUGCCGGGUCCAUUCCGGGUGCAUGCCCGGAAUGGAUGCGAUUCGCGUGGAGCCCGCAGGCGGUGCUGACGAUUCCGCCGGUGCAAGCUUAGCUCUCACACCAUCAGCACUGCUGCAACAAAGCACAUCUCACACCGCGUUGACACUACCCAUCAAUUGUCACACNNNNNNNNNNNNNNNNNNNNNNNNNNNNNNNNNNNNNNNNNNNNNNNNNNCAACCAUGCUGGCAAGUCGGAUGCGCAAGCGCACCAUUGACAAGCCCCCGAGAAAUAUUCAAGUUAAUCGCAGGUCCUCAAUGAGGACCAUAUUAGCGAUUAAGCUAAUAAGAACAGAUACUACACAUGAUCUGAGCCAAAAGGCCGAGAAAGGUAUGAAAACAACAGGGAUGGGCCACGGACGAGUGCACGGCAAAAUACUCCUUUGGCGCUCGAUGGUGGGGGGUGGUAUUUAGAAGCACAUUGCUCCCCCUGAAAGCACCUGCUUGCUGUUCCUGGUCCGCAAUGUCGGGGCCAAGCAGGAAAACACAGCACAGCGAGGCGUGCAUGGGGUAUCAGGGGGUUUCACAGGGCGGUGUGCAGCCAUCACAAGCCUCUCUUCCUGCUGCUUUCCUGCCUUCCUGCAGCCUCCCUAUCCACAAUCACAUCGGCCCUCUACCUACUUACCUACCGGGGUACCUACCUCUACAUAUGCAAAUAACGACCGGCGUCAUGAUCAAGCGGCCGCCACACCCUAUUACCUAGGCCAUGUGCACAAUUCCGCUCGGUCCUCCUUUUGCUGUACGUACGGUGUCGUACGAGUAAUGUACGAUGCCUGAUUGAAGUCGUUCCCACGCGGCGCGGGGCGGUGACUGAUGGAAUGGUUACUACGAGCACGUCAGGUACUGCACACGUUGGACGAGCUUACAGCUGGGUUUACAAGCAUGCAGAUGGAUGGGCACAGCACAUCACAGCGAUCAGCACAGCACAGCGAUCAGCACAGCACAGCUCAGCAGCGCACGGCACCCUCCAGCCCAGUUGUACAUUUUCGUAUGGGCGGGUGCACGGCUGCAGCGGUAGUGUAAGGCCGCAACCAUGCUGGCAAGUCGGAUGCGCAAGCGCACCAUUGACAAGCCCCCGAGAAAUAUUCAAGUUAAUCGCAGGUCCUCAAUGAGGACCAUAUUAGCGAUUAAGCUAAUAAGAACAGAUACUACACAUGAUCUGAGCCAAAAGGCCGAGAAAGGUAUGAAAACAACAGGGAUGGGCCACGGACGAGUGCACGGCAAAAUACUCCUUUGGCCAAGCUUGCGCUCGAUGGUGGGGGGUGGUAUUUAGAAGCACAUUGCUCCCCCUGAAAGCACCUGCUUGCUGUUCCUGGUCCGCAAUGUCGGGGCCAGCAGUAGCUUAUUACAGCAGGGCCGAUUAAGCUAAUGCACAGAGCUGGUGAUUCGGCCGCUGCUUCAAUCCGUCAGAGCGGUGUAGCGGAGUCCAGUCAGUAGGGACCCAUCCAUGUCCCUGCCCGCCUGCUGCAGCAGCAGUCAAGGCAGCCGGGUGAAGCUGACGCCACAGACCUUGAAAAAAACAGGCAUGCGGAGGUGGAGCUGCGCGUCAGAUAUCGCGCCUGUAACUGUAGGCUUUAUGAGCGAAACGAAAGAAAACCAAAGUUUUCUGUGUAUUUGCCGAGCGUGUACUCGGUUGAAUGUCCUGGGUGUGUACGGCUGGACCGUACAGGGCUAGAAUAAGUCGCAGGAGUGCGACGGAAAGAGCAAGUUCGCGAGUUCAUAGCGAGUUCAUGCUGACAGGUUUCCGCUGCGGCUUCUGCCUAACCUACAGGCUUCAGAAGCAGAGUCGCUCGGUAACCAGGCUCGCCCCCUCCCACGGAAGCAAGCACUAACUUUCCUGCCUGCAGGUACCCCUCCGUCUGAACGACCCCUAAGCGGUAAGGCAACUACUCAAGAAAACAAAGAUUUGGCUGUAGUAAAGGCUUGGCAUUGUAAAAGCAACGUGUGCCCUGUAAUGGACACUUGGCGCUAGCCAACCGUGAGGCCGCCGCGGCCAUGCCAUGCGCAGGGGUUGGAAUCCACAGCAUCCACAUCGAACACGUACGGGCCAAGGAAGGGCAUCUGUACCCGGACAGGAAAACACAGCACAGCGAGGCGUGCAUGGGGUAUCAGGGGGGUUCACAGGGCGGUGUGCAGCCAUCACAAGCCUCUCUUCCUGCUGCUUUCCUGCCUUCCUGCAGCCUCCCUAUCCACAAUCACAUCGGCCCUCUACCUACUUACCUACCGGGGUACCUACCUCUACAUAUGCCAAUAACGACCGGCGUC